rnacentral:rRNA from 1 species
AGUGAACGCUGGCGGUAGGCCUAACACAUGCAAGUCGAACGGCAGCACAGUAAGAGCUUGCUCUUACGGGUGGCGAGUGGCGGACGGGUGAGGAAUACGUCGGAAUCUACUUUUUCGUGGGGGAUAACGUAGGGAAACUUACGCUAAUACCGCAUACGACCUACGGGUGAAAGCAGGGGAUCUUCGGACCUUGCGCGAUUGAAUGAGCCGAUGUCGGAUUAGCUAGUUGGCGGGGUAAAGGCCCACCAAGGCGACGAUCCGUAGCUGGUCUGAGAGGAUGAUCAGCCACACUGGAACUGAGACACGGUCCAGACUCCUACGGGAGGCAGCAGUGGGGAAUAUUGGACAAUGGGCGCAAGCCUGAUCCAGCCAUACCGCGUGGGUGAAGAAGGCCUUCGGGUUGUAAAUCCCUUUUGUUGGGAAAGAAAAGCAGCAGGUUAAUACCCCGCUGUUCUGACGGUACCCAAAGAAUAAGCACCGGCUAACUUCGUG